AGGGAAUCUUGCGCAAUGGGCGAAAGCCUGACGCAGCGACGCCGCGUGGAGGAUGAAGGCCUUCGGGUCGUAAACUCCUGUCUGGGGGGAUGAACACUGACAGUACCCCCGGAGGAAGCCCCGGCUAACUACGUGCCAGCAGCCGCGGUAAUACGUAGGGGGCGAGCGUUGUCCGGAAUUACUGGGCGUAAAGCGCGCGCAGGCGGCUUGUUAAGUCAGGUGUCAAAAUGCGGGGCUCAACCCCGUAUCGCACUUGAAACUGGCAGGCUUGAGUGCAGGAGAGGGAAGUGGAAUUCCUAGUGUAGCGGUGAAAUGCGUAGAUAUUAGGAGGAACACCAGUGGCGAAGGCGACUUCCUGGACUGUAACUGACGCUCAGGCGCGAAAGCUAGGGGAGCAAAC
rnacentral:rRNA from 1 species